UCAAGACGAUCAGUACAAGGCCGGAAUAACACUUGAGUUACGAUUGCAAAACGAAAACCAUAAUUUAAGAGAUGUAGGCGUGAAGCAAGAACAACAUAGGCCAGUUUCGUUGAGAUGAACAAAGUUCCUUCAGUACCUACAAUUUUCAUCUCUCCUUCAUAGCUUUCUAUAUCCAUAUCUAUACGUAGCACCAAUACAAGGACCGAUAUUUA